ensembl:Y_RNA Y_RNA Y RNA
GACUGAUCUGAAGGUAGUAAGUUAUCUCAAUUGAUUGUUCACAGUUACAGAUUCAACUCCUUGUUCUGCUCUUUCCCCCUUCUCACCAGGGCACUUGACUAGUCUAAA